UUUCGCAAUGCCCGAAAGGGUGACGAAGCGACGCCGCGUGAGUGAGGAAGGCCUUCGGGUUGUAAAGCUCUGUCAGGAGUUAAGAAAUAUAAGUGUGUUAAUACCACAUUUAUUUGACGAAGGCUCCAAAGGAAGCCACGGCUAACUCUGUGCCAGCAGCCGCGGUAAUACAGAGGUGGCAAGCGUUGUUCGGAAUUAUUGGGCGUAAAGAGCACGUAGGUGGGUUUGUAAGUCAGAUGUGAAAGCCUUCUGUUCAACGGAAGAAUUGCAUCUGAAACUGCGAGUCUUGAGUGUAGGAGGGGAGAAUGGAACUUCUGGUGGAGCGGUGGAAUGCGUAGAUAUCAGAAGGAACGCCGGCGGCGAAAGCGAUUCUCUGGCCUAUUACUGACACUCAGUGUGCGAAAGCUAGGGGAGCAAACGGGAUUAGAUACCCCGGUAGUCCUAGCUGUAAACGAUGGGCACUAAGUAGAGGGGUUUUA
rnacentral:rRNA from 1 species